UUCGUAGGUGGCGAGCGUUGUCCGGAUUUACUGGGCGUAAAGGGAGCGUAGGCGGACUUUUAAGUGAGAUGUGAAAUACCCGGGCUCAACUUGGGUGCUGCAUUUCAAACUGGAAGUCUAGAGUGCAGGAGAGGAGAAUGGAAUUCCUAGUGUAGCGGUGAAAUGCGUAGAGAUUAGGAAGAACGCCAGUGGCGAAGGCGAUUCUCUGGACUGUAACUGACGCUGAGGCUCGAAAGCGUGGGGAGCAAACAGGAUUAGAUACCCU
rnacentral:rRNA from 1 species